rnacentral:misc_RNA from 1 species
GUAACAAGGUUUCCGUAGGUGAACCUGCGGAAGGAUCAUUGUCGAGACCCGAAAAAGGCAGACCCGCGAACCCGUUUCGAACUCGUGCGGGGGGACGUCGCGCCCGCGGCCCGACCCGAUCGGGUCGCCGCGCGUCGGAUCCCCGUCCCGCCGUCGUCGGCGCGCGCGCGAGCGCCCGCCGUCGUCGGCCUAACAGAACCCCGGCGCGAAAAGCGUCAAGGAACACUCGAAAACGCCGCCCGCCCCUCGGCGCCCCCGUUCGCGGAGCGAGCGUCGAAGGGGGGACCGGACGCGCGUCGAAUUCAGAACGACUCUCGGCAACGGAUAUCUCGGCUCUCGCAUCGAUGAAGAACGCAGCAAAAUGCGAUACUUGGUGUGAAUUGCAGAAUCCCGUGAACCAUCGAGUUUUUGAACGCAAGUUGCGCCCGAAGCCAUUACGCCGAGGGCACGUCUGCCUGGGCGUCACGCACAUCGUCGCCCCCCGCCCCCGGAUCCCACAGAGGGACCGCGGGCGACGGGACGGAGAAUGGCCCCCCGUGCGCCUCGGCGCGCGGCCGGCCCAAAUGCGAUUCGGCACCGACGCGUGCCGCGACGAUUGGUGGUCGGUCGAAGAACUCGACUCGCGCGCUGUCGCGGCGCCGUUCGGCCCGAACGUGCCGACCCCGACGGUGCUCCGCACCUCGACGGCGACCCCAGGUCAGG